AUUGAACGCUGGCGGCAUGCUUUACACAUGCAAGUCGAACGGCAGCACGGACUUCGGUCUGGUGGCGAGUGGCGAACGGGUGAGUAAUACAUCGGAACGUACCCAGUAAUGGGGGAUAACUAUCCGAAAGGAUAGCUAAUACCGCAUACGCCCUACGGGGGAAAGAGGGGGAUCGCAAGACCUCUUGUUAUUGGAGCGGCCGAUGGCUGAUUAGCUAGUUGGUGAGGUAAAGGCUCACCAAGGCGACGAUCAGUAGCGGGUCUUAGAGGACGAUCCGCCACACUGGAACUGAGACACGGUCCAGACUCCUACGGGAGGCAGCAGUGGGGAAUCUUGGACAAUGGGCGCAAGCCUGAUCCAGCAAUGCCGCGUGCGUGAAGAAGGCCUUCGGGUUGUAAAGCGCUUUUGUCGGGGAGCAAAAGGUGGUGGCUAAUAUCCAUCGCUCUUGAGAGUACCUGAAGAAUAAGGACCGGCUAACUACGUGCCAGCCGCCGCAG
rnacentral:rRNA from 1 species